rnacentral:rRNA from 1 species
CAAUAGCGUAUAUUAAAGUUGUUGCAGUUAAAACGCUCGUAGUUGAACACCUGCCCUUUUCCGGUUAGGUCCGCUCUGCGUGCACCUUCCGAAAUCGGCAUCCGUCUGCGUUGCUUCGCAUUGCAGACCGUUCACUUUGAGGAAAUUAGAGUGUUCAAAGCAGGCUUACGCCUUGAAUACUUCAGCAUGGAAUGAUUGAUAGGACUUCUAUCCUAUCUUGGUUCUAGGGACAGAAGUAAUGGUAAACAGGGUUGGUUGGGGGCAUUCGUACUGAACAGUCAGAGGUGAAAUUCUUAGAUUUGUUCAAGACGAACAACUGCGAAAGCAUUUGCCAAGGACGACCCCAUUA